UACGUAGGUGGCAAGCGUUGUUCGGAUUUACUGGGCGUAAAGGGCGCGUAGGCGGCCAGCGCAAGUCAGUUGUGAAAUCUCCGGGCUUAACUCGGAACGGUCAACUGAUACUGCGCGGCUAGAGUGCAGAAGGGGCAACUGGAAUUCUCGGUGUAGCGGUGAAAUGCGUAGAUAUCGAGAGGAACACCUGCGGCGAAGGCGGGUUGCUGGGCUGACACUGACGCUGAUGCGCGAAAGUGUGGGGAGCGAACAGG
rnacentral:rRNA from 1 species